AGAUGUUAAAUAUCAAUAUAAAAACCAUGCACGAUAACGAUGAUGGAUAUUAUAAAUAAAGAACCAGUAACAGUUCAUAGAGCGUCAUUAUGAAACUACUGAUUUUCUUUUCGUCAUUAAUAGCCAUCUCCUUGGCUACUUAUCCUUAUGACCACCUUGAUUGUGUACGAGGUCCACCGGGCCCACCAGGCCCACCAGGCCCACCGGGACAACUCCACCGUCCAGGCUCUGAAUCAUGUAUAUAUAUUGGAUCAAACGGGGAUUGUUACAGACCAGACCCUAUUGGUGUUAUCAGUGAAGACGAAUGCAAGGAAAGAUUUGGAAAUGAUCAAUACCAGAUGUGGGUGGGCAAACAAGCAUGGUUGGACUAUAUAAAUUCUCAUACCCGGUUUUAUAACCGUAAUAGAGGAAACCUCCCGGGUCCUAGGGGCCCUUCCGCUUAAAUGUUUCUGGAACUGACAAAGAAAGUUCACAAUUUUAAUUAAAAUAAAAGAAAUUAUUCGAUAA